UACUUAGUGACAGAGCCGGCUAAACGAAAGCAUCAUCAUUUUUUAUACUUUUUUUCGGUUUUGGACUUCUUGGAAAUUGUAGUACUAUCGACUGAAGUAUACUUUUGCCGCUAGAGACUAAUUAAUCGUGUGCCUUAGGUGCAAUGUUUAUGAGAUGUGGUACGUGAACGUUUGUGCCGUAAGAAGUAAACAGCAGUCGCAUAAAGUAUAAUACUGAGAUUUACAGAUGGAUGAUGGCAGUAGAGAGCAGUCAUCACCGGAGUCUUCUGUUCGUGCUGGACCAUCAGCUUUGGGGCAAAAUGAGCAGGCCGAUCAAGAGGUACAGCCUUUGUGGAGCUCAUACAGGAAACCUACCCCCUGUCCAGAAUCAGAUCCAGAAUCAGACAACCAGUCCUAUGCAAGUGAAGCAUCAAGUGAUGAAUCUGUUCAGUGGGAAAAAGAGUUUAUAGGUAAACUGAUGAAAGUUAAGAAAUAUUCCUGUCAGCAAGAGAGAACAGCACCAGCCAGUGAGGGUGUGAUAGGAAUGCCUGUGGAGGAAGAGCUGCCAAAGCAUUGUGAUGUAAACCAGGACACCAAGCAAAGCAGCUAUCAGCAACAAGAAUCUGAGGUGCUAAGGUCAAUAUUACAUCAGGACAUAAUGGGAAGUCCAGGAAGUCCAACAAACAGCCAGGUGUCUUCAACAUGUGAUUCUGGCUGUAUGGAAGAACAUUAUGUGUCUUGUUUGCAUGAGCAUGAGAAUACAAGGCAAAAAUUGCACUAUAAGAAUCACCAGUUUGGAGAAGUGAAUAAACAUGAUAUUUCAGGGGUGACUGAGCAACAACCAGGAUGCUCAAAUAACUGUUGUGUGUCUUCAUCUUGUGAUUCAAAUCAGUUGCAAUUAAGACCAGACAUUGAAACAGAAGAUCAUAUUUGUGGUAAACUUAAUUUGGGCUAUGUUUCAAGAUGGAUGAAGGCACAACCAGCAAGUCCAACACAUUGUGAGGUUUCAUCAUCAUCAUAUGAUUCUGAGUCAGAUGAUGGGCAUGCUGGAUCUCGUGAACAGGAAAUGGAGAGACAAUACCGAACUUCCCUGCAGCAAGCACAACCAAAUUCAGACUUUAUUUUGGCUGGCACUUCAGAGGAAAGUGAGAAAAUGAUAGAAAGCCCAAGAAACUGCCAAGUUUCAUCUUCUUGUGAAUCUGAUUCAGAUGCCUCUGGGUACAGUAAAUUGUGUUUACGAGUGUCGGAGGACUCAAUGGAAGAUGACACAGACCAUUCAACUGGAAAAGAUAAAAGAAAGAAGUCAUGUGAAACAUCAGCUGCAGGAAAAGAUGGGGAUGACACACACAUAAAUGCGAGACCUGAGCAAUACAAGUCUGUAGAAUCAGUGAAUUAUGAUGUUAGUGAUGAAGUCCCAACUCAGAGAGCGCCAUUGUCUCCACGCAUUAAGAGGAGAAACGUUUCCCACCUGGGGCAGCUGGGUAGUUACUCUCAGUUGGAUUCAAACCAACCUUCUCACUGGCGUCAUCAGUGGACAAGGGACUUCCCCUGCAGAGGCCGCCCUGCCAGGUUGAGAAGCCAGUCCCCUGCAGAUAGAGUGAAUCGAUGGAAAAGAAGUCCGUCACCAGUGGAAUCCUGCAGAAAAUUGAGAAGCAGAAGCGUGCUACCGAUCAGAGAUACUCAACGUGUGACAUGGAGAAAAAGACGUUCGAAGUCUUGUGACACAUACAGAAAACAUAAAAGAUCACAUGAGAGUCGACAUCCAUCAAAAGAACAUUUACUAUUCAAAAGAAUGGAACCAGUAAGUGAACCAUCAUCGAACAAUAGAGUGGAAAGGCAGUCCAGAUCAACCAGAAGGAGAUGGUCGAAGCCUGCUAGCAUAUCUGGAAGGCACAAAACUUCAACUAGCAGUAGAGAUAAAUCAACACUGCAGAUGACUGCCAGCAAUUCAGAAUCAUUGUCAGUAAGAAUGGCUGCAAGAUGUAUACACUGCAGUAGUAGUCACAAAUUCCAAAAGGAACGCUCUGUACUUGACAGUGAACUUGCCAUUCAGGGAAGGAGCCAUGUGAACCAGACACUCUCGAGUAAAACUCAGAAUGUGGCAGAAGAACAGUUAACGUACAGAACGCGGCGUUCAUUGUCUAGAAGUAGAUCGGUAUUGAAUACGGCACAACAAGAAUCUGGGGCUGAGGUAAUAGGUACCAAAAUAAUGCAUAGUUUGUUGGGAGUCCAGGAAAACUCAAGUGGUAAAGAACAACCACCUCAAGGGUUCACAGAGCACACAAGGAAUCAAUCAAUGUGUCUAAACACAUCUAAAAGAAACAAAAGAACAAGUAAAAAGAAAGAGGCACCAAAAGAGCAUGUGACAACCUUAAGAAGUGAUUCAGUUAUUCAAAAUCAGAAAUCAUUCACUCAGUUGAAUAAAUUCUGUGAACUUGCACAAGAACAGCCAGCAUUUGGAAGCAAGCUCUCAGUGCGAAUUAACCGAUUAAAAAAUACUGAGGAUUUUAGGACUAACCAGUUGUCAGGUGAGCAGUCGUCACUCGAGGACAAGUACUUAAUAACAGAUCACAUUUCUGCAAGACUCCAGCAUUCAGGCCCAGAAGAUGCAUUUAGGAAGAAAAUACAUUCACAUAGAAGUCUGGUAUCAUCAGAGGAACGACCCACAUCUUCAAAUAAGCAAUCUUUAUCAGUGAAUAUGUCUAGAGGACAAAAUCAUCUGAAUAAAUUUCAAGAGAUAAAAGAUCAGUCAACUUUCAGCAGUACAAAUUCUUUGCUAACAAAAUCUAGUGAGGAUGUCCAUUUAAGCAAGGACAAAGAAUUGUCUUAUGAUCAUGUAGCUGACAGUAGUUGUUUAAUGCCAAAAAAUAACACUGAAAGGCAUACUGAAUCAAAAAAGAAUCAAGAACUGGCAGGAGGUACCUUAAAUUUGAAAAACUUUAAAGGGUUCCCAGAAGAACAAGUUUCAGUAAACGGCAAGCUUUCUCUACCUGCGAUCUUAUCAGAAAGUUGUGAUUUUCCAAUAAGCGCGCAAACACUACAUCAGCUGUACUCAGCAAGAAAAAGACAUUCUGCAUCUGUGCUCACACAAGGGACGUCUUCAUCACUGAAUGAAGUCAAAAUGGCACCAUAUCCUUUGUCAGAUAGCAAACGUUUGUCUAGAAAACGAAAACUCUCAAAAGAAGACUGUCAGUCACAACAUAAGUCUCUCAACUCCAGGUGCCAAUUUAUGUCAGCGCCUUGUGUAGCAUGUGAAAACCAAGGACAUCUUUCCAAAAGGAGAGUACUUGGGAAGGUCAAGCAAUCUGCUGAAGCUGUACAGAGCGUCCUCCAGUCAAACAACAUGAAAGUGAGCAAAAACAAAGCUCUACAUCUCCAAACAGCAACAUAUAAUUCACAUCUACAGUUAGGACAUUCCUCCACAGUGAAUGGGUCUACUGCAUCUAGUGAAACCUCACAGGAAAAAAGUUAUUCUAAGAUUUCAGGAAGAAAUAGUUCCUUAUUUAAAGAUGCAAAUGCAGUAUGUGAUGUAACAGCAUCAGAUGCCAGAGCGGUAAAAUGUUCCUCGCAAGACAGAAUUUGCUGCAAAGAAGACAGUGCUUUGUUAGGACCUAGUACAAGUCAGAUCAAGCCUUGUUCAGUGGUUCUUAAAAAUUUAGAACUUUCAUCAGAGAAAUUUGUAUUCCCACCCUUUCCUCAUGUUACUUGGACUACAAAAGCGAGUGACUUCUGUUUGCCGCAAGAUUAUAUGAACACAGUGCGGAAAAAAGGCAAGUGAACUGACAACACUGCCAUCCAUAUGAAUGCAUGUCACCAAGACAGUGUGUGUGUGUGUGUGUGUGUGUGUGUGUGUGUGUGUGUGUGUGUGUGUGUGUGUGUGUGUGUG
rnacentral:misc_RNA from 1 species